rnacentral:rRNA from 1 species
CUACAGGCUUAACACAUGCAAGUCGAGGGGCAGCAUGGUCUUAGCUUGCUAAGGCUGAUGGCGACCGGCGCACGGGUGAGUAACACGUAUCCAACCUGCCGUCUACUCUUGGCCAGCCUUCUGAAAGGAAGAUUAAUCCAGGAUGGGAUCAUGAGUUCACAUGUCCGCAUGAUUAAAGGUAUUUUCCGGUAGACGAUGGGGAUGCGUUCCAUUAGAUAGUAGGCGGGGUAACGGCCCACCUAGUCAACGAUGGAUAGGGGUUCUGAGAGGAAGGUCCCCCACAUUGGAACUGAGACACGGUCCAAACUCCUACGGGAGGCAGCAGUGAGGAAUAUUGGUCAAUGGGCGAUGGCCUGAACCAGCCAAGUAGCGUGAAGGAUGACGG